rnacentral:rRNA from 1 species
UAGCCUUGACAUUGAUUGAAUAGACCAGAGAUGGGCUAGUGCCCUUCGGGGAACAUGAAAACAGGUGCUGCACGGCUGUCGUCAGCUCGUGUCGUGAGAUGUUGGGUUAAGUCCCGCAACGAGCGCAACCCUCGUCCUUAGUUGCCAGCAGGUUAAGCUGGGCACUCUAAGGAGACUGCCUUCACAAGGAGGAGGAAGGUGAGGACGACGUCAAGUCAUCAUGGCCCUUAUGGCUAGGGCUACACACGUGCUACAAUGGGGCGUACAGAGAGUUGCGAUACCGCGAGGUGGAGCCAAUCUCAUAAAGCGUCUCUCAGUUCGGAUUGUUCUCUGCAACUCGAGAGCAUGAAGCUGGAAUCACUA